rnacentral:pre_miRNA from 11 species
GCCCGCACGGGAAAAUCGAUUUUCCCGUGCGGUCGGUUAGGAGGCCCGCACGGGAAAAUCGAUUUUCCCGUGCGGGC